CCGCCCUAGCUACUGUCUUCCCCAUGGAGUCCUCCUGGGCGACUCUGGGCAUCGCAGCUUUCCUUUUCCUCUUGCCGGUUCUCUUCGCCGCGCGGUUCUUCCGAACGAGGCGAGCGCGCGUCCCGCGUAACGCCGCCGUCAGCCUCCUGGUGGUGGCGGGUUCUGGAGGACACACUACAGAAAUCUUGAGGUUACUUAGUAGCCUGUCCCAGACAUACUCUCCUAGACAUUAUGUUUUGGCUGAUUCAGACAAAAUGAGUGAAGAAAAAAUCCGUUCUUUUGAACAACAAAGAGCUGAAACCGCCUCCAAUUCCUUGUUCACCCUCCACCGCAUUCCCAGAAGCCGGGAGGUCCGUCAGUUGUGGAGCUCCUCUGUGCUGACGACUCUGCGUUCCAUGUUUUCCUCUCUCCCUUUGACCUUCAGACUCAAGCCGGAUUUGGUUUUGUGCAAUGGCCCAGGAACUUGCGUUCCCAUAUGCGCAUCUGCCCUCCUGCUCAGGAUGCUGGGGAUAAAAAGCGUAACCAUUGUAUACGUCGAGAGCAUCUGCCGCGUGGAAAACCUGUCUCUGUCCGGGAAGAUCCUUUACCACUUUUCAGAUUAUUUCAUCGUCCAGUGGCCUGCGCUCAAAGAAAAGUAUCCCAAGUCUCUCUAUCUUGGGCGAAUCGUGUGACAAGAAAGGACAAGCUCAAUGUGUUUUAGUACCAACGCUGAUGUUUUUCCCCAACCGGUCCUUCAUAAGUUUACACAAGUCGAGCAAGACUCAUCAGUGUAUUUCUAAAAACCAAAGUGGACCGUAUGUGCGUACCGCCCAGUAUCACAUAGCUGGACGCCACAAGAUUAUGCUUCUCUUUCCAGUUGCUGUCAGGAACUCAACUCUACCUCUAUUGCGUCACUUUGGCUUCCAGGACUGCCGUCCUUCAUCCUCAUCUCUUAAAAAAGUCCCUUUCUCAUGAGUCAGGGAAUAAGGAUUCUGGGACUGUUCAGAGUAUGGAAAACUGAUUAUAGAAGGGGACAACCCCCCCCCAACCACCAGCUAAGGAUGAGUUUUUUUAGAAGAAGAAGAAGAAGAAGAAGAAGAAGAAGAAGAAGAAGAAGAAGAAGAAGAAGAAGAAAGUCUGUCCAGACAUCGAUUUUGAAAUAUCCAUAAGUGUAAUUUAGGAUCCAAUGAUGACUGCCAAGAAAAUCUGUCAUCAUCUAUUAUUUGCUACAAAGCAAGCAUGAGAGAAACACAGGUGCCUUGCAGCAUCCACAGUCAUUCAAAAAGCAGAUGAAACCCUUUUGGGACAAAAUGAUGAAAAGAGAAAUCUGUCGACAUAGUUUGCAGAAUGAGAGCUGGGAAAGUCUGCACCUAGUAGAACAAAUGUAACAAAAACCAAAAAGGAAAGAAAGAAGAGAGUAGCUAUUGCUAGACACUGUGUCCACUACAGUACUUAAAGUGAAAUUACAUGAGUAUAGAAACAUUUAUCUCCAAGGGUUUGUACCAGCAUGCUGCCAUUAAGUAUAUGAAAGACAGGGCUGUGGUUCUCUGUUUUAAAAAGAAAAGAAAGUCUUAGCCAUACAAUGACAUGGCUGUUCUCUCAGUUCUGGGAAUAUGAGUCUUUCCAGUGUGAUUAAUAAUAAUUGACACCUCAGCACAACAACCCUCCAUGUGUAGAGACAUGGUAACUCCUCACCAGAUUCUUAACUCUUUUCCAUAUUUCAGAUUUCGGGUGGGGGUGGGUGGGCAGGGGGAAACACCCGUUGCUCUGCUUUCUGCAUGUAUAAAAUCCAGCAGUGUGUUAAUCACAAAUGAAGGAAAUAGAGUUCAGAUUGAAAGAAUAGAUCUGCAGAUCCUCUUCUGCAGGUACAAAGCUUUGUGCAUGCCAGAGGAGUUACAAUGGCAAUCCAGUGUUGAUAACUGGUCUCUCUUACUGAGGGGCUCUUAGGGGGCUGCCUGUGAUCUAAAAUGAUGCUGAUGGAUAUGCACAUCUGAGCCUUCAUCAGCUGAGCAGCCUUCACAUAGCACCUUUUAUUUUGUCGCUGUUAUUGAUCACUUUGGCAUUUCGUCUUUCCUCCUUCCAGGGGGUUCAAGAUAGUGUACAUGACUCCACCCCCAUCCCAUUUUAUCGUGAAGUUGAGACUAUGAUGCAGUUAGGUAAUUUUGGGCCAUGGUGGGGAACAUGAUGCCCUCCAGAUGUUGUUGGACUGCAAUACCCAUCAGCCUCAGCCAGCAUGGGAAUGGCCAGGGAUGAUGUGAGAUGUAGGCCAGCAACAUCUGGAGAGUCACAGGUUUCCUGCAGUUGUUUCAGACUUUGGAGUGAUGGUUUUAUGGGGUUCCUUCUUUAGAUGCUAACAGUAUUAAUGUGGUAAUUCAGCCCUGCUCUGUUUGGAGCUCCUCUUGCUUUUUCUGUUGAAUUCUACCCCAAAUAUUGUCCAUUUGGAACCGGUGGGUUGAAAUUACCUAUGUUGCUGUGCACAGGAGGUUCUUCAAACCAUUUUCUUGCAGGAAUACCUCUAGAUUAGGGCCAGGGCAUUAUGAGUUCUAUGUAUGCCAAUUUGUUUUUGUUUUUUUAAUGAAUUCUAAUAUCUAUAUCCACAGAACCAAAAAAACUGUUAAAAUUAAAACUUUUUGGUGCAUGCUCUUGUUGUCAGUUACUCUUCUACCACAAAUUUACACUGCUGUUCCCAUGUUUUAAACAAUUAAAUAGUUCUUUUUCCCUCUGUUCAUGUUUAACUGCAAAAUAGAGCUCAAACCUAAAAACAACUCAAUUAGCAAGCCUGAGCCUAGUGUCUUUUGUAGUGUUAUGGCACUAUUUGUUUCACCUACAUAAGGAGGAAAGAGCAGACUUAGACGGUAAACAUUGCCGAUUACACCCAUCUUCAAUGCCCUCCCACCUCUGGUAUUUGAAGCUGAGUACACAUGACAUUAGCCACAACUCAUAUGCAUCCUACACUUUCUUUAAAAGUGCAGCUUUUUAAGAAAUACCGCUGUUUGCUGCAUUUCUCCUCAAACCAACAUCCAUCCGAUUUGAAAACAUAUUGCUGUUAAGCCGAAGUAUGUACAUUUCAGACAGAAGACAAUGCAUGUGCAAAUGACAGUUUCAUUGAAUUGGAGUUUGAGGGGUGGAAAAAGGAACCUGGUAAUGCACAUUGGGUGAAAACAUCUCCAUCCUCUGGUGUGUACAGCAAUGUAAAAAUGCAAAAAUGCAACAGCCACAAACCCCUUACGGUCUCUCAUCUCUUCCCCUUCCUCCAAAUGUUAUAAAAUACAGUGCUUUCUUGUGACCA